rnacentral:rRNA from 1 species
UACGUAGGCAGCGAGCGUUGUUCGGAGUUACUGGGCGUAAAGCGUGCGUAGGCGGUUUUGUAAGUUUGGUGUGAAAUCUCCCGGCUCAACUGGGAGGGUGCGCCGAAAACUGCAAGGCUGGAGUGUGGGAGAGGUAGGCGGAAUUCCUGGUGUAGCGGCGAAAUGCGUAGAUAUCGGGAGGAACACCAGUGGCGAAGGCGACUUCCUGGCCUGUUCUUGACGCUGAGGCGCGAAAGCUAGGGUAGCAAACGGG